rnacentral:rRNA from 1 species
UGCAAGUCGAGCGAACAGAAGGGAGCUUGCUCCCGGAUGUUAGCGGCGGACGGGUGAGUAACACGUGGGUAACCUGCCUGUAAGACUGGGAUAACUCCGGGAAACCGGAGCUAAUACCGGAUAGUUCCUUGAACCGCAUGGUUCAAGGAUGAAAGACGGUUUCGGCUGUCACUUACAGAUGGACCCGCGGCGCAUUAGCUAGUUGGUGGGGUAAUGGCUCACCAAGGCGACGAUGCGUACCCGACCUGAGAGGGUGAUCGGCCACACUGGGACUGAGACACGGCCCAGACUCCUACGGGAGGCAGCAGUAGGGAAUCUUCCGCAAUGGACGAAAGUCUGACGGAGCAACGCCGCGUGAGUGAUGAAGGUUUUCGGAUCGUAAAGCUCUGUUGUUAGGGAAAAACAAGUGCGAGAGUAACUGCUCGCACCUUGACGGUACCUAACCAGAAAGCCACGGCUAACUACGUGCCAGCACCCGCGGUAAUACGUAGGUGGCAAGCGUUGUCCGGAAUUAUUGGGCGUAAAGGGCUCGCAGGCGGUUUCUUAAGUCUGAUGUGAAACCCCCCGGCUCAACCGGGGAGGGUCAUUGGAAACUGGGAAACUUGAGUGCAAAAGAGGAGAGUG